AGAAGCUCAAGCGCUAACGGCUAAGAUGGGUGGAAAGCAAAUGAGUAGUGGGAAUUCAAACACAAGCAUUUCUCUCUCUACGAAACCCCCUCGCUCUCUCCUCGCAGCCCAAUCCUACGAAACCCAUUUCUCACGGAGCAUCCCAUCUCUCUCUUUUUGUAGCAAACCCAUUAGCAGGGAGCAUCCAAUCUCUCUAUGAAACCCUCUCUCUCUCUCUCUCCUCACAGCCCAACCCUACGAAACCCAUUUCUCACAGAGCAUCCCAUCUCUCUCUCUCUCUCCUUGCACACCCCUCUAAUCGUGGCAGCCAUUUCUCACAGAGCAUCCCUACGCGAGCUGCGUACGAAACCCAUUCUCACAGACCUCACAGCCCAAUCCCUCUAUUCGUGGCAGCCGUUUCUCAUAGAGAAACCCUCUCUCUCUCUCCUCGCAGCCCAACCCCUCCAAUUGUGGCAGCCAUUUCUCACACAAAAUCGCAGAAGAAGCAGCAGCAGCAGAGCCCUCUCUCACAGUAUAAACACCCAAAAUCACAUAAAAAGCUCUGCUGCUGCUGCUUCUGUCUUCUCUCUCUACACAAUUAAAAGAUUGAAUGGCACUAGGACUUGGGUUUCUUCUUUUAUGUGGAUAUCUUCUUCCUUUACAUAAUGGGUUAUGUAUAAACAGUAAUGCAUACCUUUAUAUCCUUUUGGAUUUUAAUUGCAUAAGCAUCAAUAUAAUGUAUUAUGAAAUUAUUUACUUGUUGUGAAUGCAUUAUGAAAUUGUGUCUAUCAGAUAUAAUCAAGUGCAAUUUGUAGAUCAAAUUGGAUGGAUUUUUUAUGGAAAUGAGUCAAACUUAUGUCAAUGCAUGGAAUUAUUAAUUGUUCUUAUGGAAAAUUAUCAAUGGCCUCUGUUUCUUAUCUGGUAGUCUGGAACUUACUUUCUUAAGCCAUUUUUGUUAUUGAGAAAGCAUUACAUAGAGGUACUACCUAUGCUACAUAGACAAGGUGGCAUAUAUGCUAUGUUUUGCUGAUUCAAAUUAUACAACAGUUCACCAUUCAGGUACUUGGGUAUUUUAAAUGGCUUUUAAAAUUUGAAAAUGAAUUUUAUGCUUUUCUAGGUAGUUGGGUAUUUUAAAUGGAAUCAACAUUGCCUUGUCGAAUCCUUCUACUAAUGUAUUUUUGCCCUCUAAUUUUCAUCUUCGCAUGCUUUAUUAUCCACAUGCUAAUGCAAAAAAAUUCUGAUAUGUCAAUUGUCGGCGGCCUUAUUAAUCAUGUGCCAUUGUAAGCACAUUUUGAUAUGUUAAAUGUUGUACACAUUACUUUGAGAGUUAAGUUCACAUUAAUAAGGGUGUCACCCCUGUUGUCUACAAUUGCUUUGAAUAUGGUUAAUCCUAUAAUGGAAGCAAUAAAAUUUGAAUAGUUAACAAAUGGGCUAUCUGGUCUACUAGGAGGUACUACCUAUGCUGCAUAGACAAUGUGGCAUAUAUGCUAUGUAUGAGUUUUGCAUUUUGGGUGUUAUUGGGUUCUUGUAUUUCAGCUCUGCUGCUGCUGCUGCUACUUCUGUCUUCUUUCUCUACACAAUUAAAGGAUUGAAUGACACUAAUACUUCGGCUUCUUUUUUUAUGUGGAUAUCUUUUGUGUUCUGCGGGACACUAUGAAAUCCAUAUCUUUCUAACAAGAUAUGAUGCUCUAGUUUUGGACUAAUUCAAUCUUUCUUCACAUGCAAAGCCAUUUUGGAUGGACAACCAACCAACACAGCCAUGCAAUAGGGAUUUAAUCAUGAUAUGGGUUUGGCUGCUCUAGAUGACUUGGCGGAUAUAGAAAGGUGACUCGAAACCUCAGUAGAUGCUCCGCAAUCCUUUAACUAUGGUUCUUACAGUCAUUUAAUGAAGGAAUGCCCCAAACCUCAUGAUAUUGUUGCUGUAAAAAAUGCUCACAAGAAACACAAUAUUUCUUUUUUUCUUUAAUAUCAUUUAUGAGGUGUUGUUUUCUAUUUAUUGGAUGCUCAUCGGUAAUUGGCAGAACCUUAUCUCUGUAUUUUGUUUUAUGGAACAGUCUGGAAAAUGUUUUUAUAGGUCUGCAUUUGAGUUGCUAGUUUGUGACAUUUAGGAUGGGAAGCAAGCAUGCUUUUUUGUAAUGGAAUUUGUAUACAAAUACUUGUGUUGUAAAGGGAGCUUCAGUCACAGUGAUCAAACUUUAAGAUUCAAACAGUUGUAUUGAACUUGUUGAAAUCGUUGAAGAAAUAUUACGAGUCUGGCCAA